GAGACUCUGUGCGCGUGCAUAUCAAUAAGCGGAGGAAAAGAAACUAACAAGGAUUCCCCUAGUAACGGCGAGUGAAGCGGGAAGAGCUCAAAUUUGAAAUCUUAAAGGGUUUCCCUUUACGAAUUGUAGUUUAAAGAAGUGUUUUCUGUUGGAGUUUCGGUAAAAGUUCUUUGGAAUAGGACAUCAUAGAGGGUGAGAAUCCCGUAUUUGACCGUUACUUUCCAGCUGUGUGAUACACUUUCAAAGAGUCGGACUGUUUGGGAAUGCAGUCCAAAAUGGGUGGUAAAUUUCAUCUAAAGCUAAAUAUUGGCGAGAGGCCGAUAGCGAACAAGUACCGUGAGGGAAAGAUGAAAAGAACUUUGAAAAGAGAGUUAAACAGUACGUGAAAUUGUCAAAAGGGAAGCGUUUGACACCAGUGUUGUUUUUCCGAAAAUCAAUUACGAAUGUUUUGUUUUUGAGGAGUUAUGACUUCAUCGGCUUGCUUCUCUCUUUACGAAACUUUCUUAAUGCACUUUUCGGUUAACAAGUCAACAUCAAUUUCUUUUGUUGUAAAAGGGUACGAGGAAGGUGGCUUUCUUUUCGGAGAAAGUGUUUAUAGCCUUGUGCUUCUACAAUCGGAGAGAUUGAGGUCUGCAGCGUAGAUCCUUCGGGGUUAGAUACGUAGAUGCUAAGUUAUAGUUUUUAUAGACAACUUGUUGACUAUGAUUAGUCAUGUAGCUUACUCGUUACGUGCUAUUUUACCUACGCUUAGGAUGUUGAACUCUAUCACACACAG
rnacentral:rRNA from 1 species